rnacentral:rRNA from 1 species
CCUUCAUGAAGCCGGAAUUGCUAGUAAUGGCAGGUCAGCAUACUGCCGUGAAUACGUUCCCGGGCCUUGUACACACCGCCCGUCACACCAUGAGAGUUGGAGAUACCCGAAGCCUGUGAGCUAACAAACGAGGCAGCAGUCGAGGGUAGAAUCAAUGAUUGGGGUGAAGUCGUAACAAGGUAUC